GAUGAACGCUGGCGGCGUGCCUAAUACAUGCAAGUAGAACGCUGAAGGAGGAGCUUGCUUCUCCGGAUGAGUUGCGAACGGGUGAGUAACGCGUAGGUAACCUGCCUGGUAGCGGGGGAUAACUAUUGGAAACGAUAGCUAAUACCGCAUAACAGUAGAUAUCGCAUGAUAUCUGCUUGAAAGGUGCAAUUGCAUCACUACCAGAUGGACCUGCGUUGUAUUAGCUAGUUGGUGAGGUAACGGCUCACCAAGGCGACGAUACAUAGCCGACCUGAGAGGGUGAUCGGCCACACUGGGACUGAGACACGGCCCAGACUCCUACGGGAGGCAGCAGUAGGGAAUCUUCGGCAAUGGACGGAAGUCUGACCGAGCAACGCCGCGUGAGUGAAGAAGGUUUUCGGGUCGUAAAGCUCUGUUGUAAGAGAAGAACGAGUGUGAGAGUGGAAAGUCCACACUGUGACGGUAUCUUACCAGAAAGGGACGGCUAACUACGUG
rnacentral:rRNA from 1 species